CAGACUGAGAAAGAAACCCCACAGCUAUUGAUGGUAUUGAUGAGCUUGUCAAKAUGGAUUUUUUGCUUUCCACUCACAUGGCUGAGAAAACUCUCCUUAUCAUCCCACUGCAUUGCAUCUUCAAUAAGGCACAUUCAUGCAGUUCCUCCAGUGUUCUCUUGAGAGGUGCCUCAUUGUAGUAGUUGUCUGGCUUGGUCAUGUCACCCCUUAAGAAAACAAUAAUUAUUAUUUAUCUUUUUUAAAGUUUUUUUUUUUUUUAAUCAGCAUGUGGAUACAUUUACUUGUCGUUAUCCUAACAACAAUGAAUAAAAUAUGAAAGGCAAGCUAGGGUACUUAAGCAUAUACCUGUCUUUCUUAAAAACUUUGCACCACAAACAAGCAUAGUUGGAAUUAGCUGCAGUGAGGCCCAUAACCAGCAGCAGGAACUGAAAAGAUAAACGACUUACGCAGAUAAGGAAAUACAACUUUUUAUGCUUAAUACCUAGUCCAUAAAUAUAACAUUUUAUUGCAUGGAAUAUGACUGUAUAYAUGAAGUGUACCUUGUAAUCACCUCCAAGAAACAUCUCUAUCUCUAAUUGUUUGUUAUCCACAGUUAUGUAGCCAUCCUUUAUUAUAUCAUUGACCUCAUCAAAAA